rnacentral:siRNA from 1 species
AAUCCCUUUAAAACACUUGUAAA